AGUCGAGGGGCAGCACGAAAAGCUUGCUUUUUUGGUGGCGACCGGCGCACGGGUGCGUAACGCGUAUGCAACCUACCCUGUACUGGAGGAUAGCCCGAAGAAAUUCGGAUUAAGACUCCAUAGUAUCAAGACACGGCAUCGUGAUUUGAUUAAAGGUUACGGUACAGGAUGGGCAUGCGUCCCAUUAGCUAGAUGGUAAGGUAACGGCUUACCAUGGCGACGAUGGGUAGGGGGCCUGAGAGGGUGAUCCCCCACACUGGUACUGAGACACGGACCAGACUCCUACGGGAGGCAGCAGUGAGGAAUAUUGGACAAUGGAGGCAACUCUGAUCCAGCCAUGCCGCGUGCAGGAAGAAUGCCCUAUGGGUUGUAAACUGCUUUUAUUUGGGAAUAAACCUCUUUACGUGUAGAGAGCUGAAGGUACCAAAUGAAUAAGCACCGGCUAACUCCGUGCCAGCAGCCGCGGUAAUACGGAGGGUGCAAGCGUUAUCCGGAAUCAUUGGGUUUAAAGGGUCCGCAGGCGGACUAAUAAGUCAGUGGUGAAAGCCCAUCGCUUAACGAUGGAACUGCCAUUGAUACUGUUAGUCUUGAAUUCGGUCGAAGUGGGCGGAAUGUGUCAUGUAGCGGUGAAAUGCAUAGAUAUGACACAGAACACCGAUAGCGAAGGCAGCUCACUAGGCCUGGAUUGACGCUCAGGGACGAAAGCGUGGGGAGCGAACAGGAUUAAAUACCCUGGUAGUCCACGCCCGAAACUAUGAUUACUCGUUUUCGGCGAUAUACAGUCGGAGACUAAGCCAAAGUGAUAAGUAAUCCCCC
rnacentral:rRNA from 1 species